CAGACCUUGCAUAUUGCAUCAAUCAUGGCGAUGAAGAAACUCUCGUUGUUCAUGGGGCUGCUCAUGCUUGUGUUGUUUCCAGUGCUGUCGCGACAAGAUGGUUUUGAUCAACGGGUGACAUUGCAAGAGACUAAGAGUAGUGUAGCCACAUUGACACUUGAUGCCAAGCUCUCCAUAGAAGAAGCCUCAAGGCUCGGUAAUAGCAUUGACCCAGACACUAUCUUUGGUGGUGAAGAUGGCUUGUACAAGAACAUCAGUGAGUGCAUUUCCAACAUCCCCGAUGAUAACAUUAAAUGAUACUCCCUCAAAUGGAUGUAGCUAGCACCAAGUUAGUGCUAGAUACUCCCUCCGUCCGAAAAAGUUUGUCCCUCAAAUGGAUGACGAAGGGCUGGGCUUACCUUUUCCAAUGAACACCUUCUCAUGGAACACUGUUCCGGGCUUUAGGCUAAGCACAUACUCCCUCCGUCCGAAAAAGCUAUGUUCCGUGAGAAGGUGUUCAUUGGAAAAGGCAAGUCCUUCGUCACACUAAAGUCUGAUCCCUCCAACCCUGCUGUUAUCGUGUGGAAUGAUACCUCCAUGACCAAGGGCAAGGAUGGCAUGCUCCUGGGCUAUAGUGGUAGUAGCACUGUUACCAUAGAGUCUGACUAUUUCAUUGCCUAUGGUAUUAUCAUCAAGAAUGAUGCACUUCCUGCCAAGGCGGGCGGCAAACAAGUGUAGGCCACUGCAUUCCAUGUCAUGGGCACAAAGGCAAUUUUCUAUAACUGCACCAUCGAGGCCGGCCAGUGAGCCUUGUAUGACCAUGAAGGGCUCCACUACUUCAAGGCCUCUACAAUCAAGGGAAGUGUUGACUUUAUCUUCAGAUCCGCAUGAUCAUUGUAUGAAGACUGUAGCAUCAUCUCUACUAACAAGGAUAUCACCGACAUGGAAGUGGCACAAGAGGGUCGGGCCAGCGAGAGCCGUAUCAACAGUGAGAGCGGUUUCUCCUUCAAGAAUUGUACCAUCAAGGGUGAGGGGAAACCAGUAUUCUUAGGAACGGCAUGGGGGAACUUCUCGCAGGUUGUGUACUCUUCCACUGAGAUGGACAGUGAAAUCGUUCCCAUCAGAUGGGGAAAGGGGAAUAUGCAAAAAACAUGAAAAUUAAAGGGGAAUAUGCAAAAGCCUAAGAGGUACUUAUAUCCCUUUUCCCAUUUGACGACGGGCGUGGGUACGAUUUCACUUUUGUUUCUCCGCCCUUGACAUCCGCACUGAGCCCCUCUCCCUCGACCAUCUCUUUGCCCUCAUGUCCAACUUCGAUCAGAGGGUCGAACUAUUCUAGGGCGCUGAUGGCAACUUCAAAUUGUCCGCUAAUGCCGCUGCUCGUGGUGGCCGUGGUCCACCCAAGGGCUACCAUGGCAAACCGCGAAGUAACUCUGGUGGAUCGCGCGACGGCGGUGGCGCUGGUUAUAACCAGCAGGGAGGAGGUGCCGGCUACAACAGGCCAUGACAAGAAAACAGCUGCAGAGGACAAGAGCAACCAGGGACCAUCACGGCACAGAUCAAACAAAUAAUCUUCUUUCUUUAUAAAAGGGAGCCAUUAGUAAUUUUUGGUUGUAUGAACAUUUUCACUUGAUGUUCUUACUUUUUUUAUUUGUUGCAGAAGGCCAAACUUACUCUUUUUUAUGGUGUGCAACUAAGUGUGUAACUAGGUUAUAUAUGAAAACCUUCUGAUGAGAAUGGUUGGAUGCUGGUGGUUGACAUGGCGACCGAGGAGCUCCACAUGCAUCGUUUCCCGGUCGAGGACAACGAGUACUUCCUGGCCUUCGAUCCGCUGGUGAACUUGUGCCGUGCCCUGCAUAUGGUGGGCCCUCGCUCGAAACUCCAGUUCUGGGUUAUGUCACUGCCACCGGAGAACCAGUGGGCCGAGUACGACGACAACAAGCUAUGCUGGGAUCUGAGCUACAGCUUCUACACCGACGACGAUCGGUGGGUCACCUCGACGAGCACCUGGUUUGACGAUGGCAAGAAUGCGUUGUGCUUCAGAUGUGGUAGUUUUUAGUAUGACUGAAGUUGAUGGACUGGAUGGUUCAUACAAACUACAAAGGGUAGGAACAUGUGGUACACUAACCAAAUAAUUCGUCUGGAUCUCAUCUACAAAGUGAGUGGCCUUGCGACAGAUGAACAAUAGUUUGACGGUCUUCCCGAAUCCCAAUCCACCAAAAUCCAUAGAACCUCUGGGGUACUUCUGAACUGUAUUGCUCAUCCAAAAAGCAAGAGAAGGCAACAGACCUUUGUUGCAAGAUGGAUGAGCUUGACAUCUCAUCCAGUACUCUGCCCAUCAACAAUCUGAUGUCCCUUUACAUGAAGUUAGGCCAGCAUAAGAAGGUCUGUAACCUGUUUGAGGACGAAGAAUGUUAAACCGGAUAACCUCACGUUCUGCAUCCUGAUGACCAGAUGUGCGGCAUUGAACAAGAUAGAUGCCGUUGAAGAAGUUUUAAAGUAAAUGGAAGAAAAUGAUGGGGUUCUAGGGUGGUCUGCCUUCCACCUACUAGAGUGCUGGUUUGGUUGAAAUUGCAGAGUCUUUACA